UGUAAACAUCCUACACUCUCAGCUGUGAACAGUAAGGAGCUGGGAGAAGGCUGUUUACU
rnacentral:pre_miRNA from 1 species